rnacentral:rRNA from 1 species
GAUGAACGCUGGCGGCGUGCCUAAUACAUGCAAGUCGAGCGAACGGACGAGAAGCUUGCUCCUCUGAUGUUAGCGGCGGACGGGUGAGUAACACGUGGAUAACCUACCUAUAAGACUGGGAUAACUUCGGGAAACCGUAGCUAAUACCGGAUAAUAUUUUGAACCGCAUGGUUCAAAAGUGAAAGACGGUCUUGCUGUCACUUAUAGAUGGAUCCGCGCUGCAUGAGCUAGUUGGUAAGGUAACGGCUUACCAAGGCAACGAUGCAUAGCCGACCUGAGAGGGAGGACGGACACACUGGAAGUGAGACACAGCCCAGACUCUGGCGGGAGGACACAGUAGAGAAUCUUACGCGAUGGGCGAGAGCCUGAUGGAGGAAAGCGGCGGGAGUGAUGAAGGACUACUGAUCGGAGAGCUAUGUUAGCAGGGAAGAAGAAAUGUGUAAGUAACUGUGAACAUAAUGACGGUACCUAAUCAGAAAGCCACGGCUAACUCCGUG